AUUGAACGCUGGCGGCAUGCCUUACACAUGCAAGUCGAACGGUAACAGGUCUUCGGAUGCUGACGAGUGGCGAACGGGUGAGUAAUACAUCGGAACGUGCCUAGUAGUGGGGGAUAACUACUCGAAAGAGUGGCUAAUACCGCAUGAGAUCUACGGAUGAAAGCAGGGGAUCGCAAGACCUUGUGCUACUAGAGCGGCCGAUGGCAGAUUGGGUAGUUGGUGGGAUAAAAGCUUACCAAGCCGGCGAUCUGUAGCUGGUCUGAGAGGACGAUCAGCCACACUGGGACUCAGAGACGGCCCAGACUCCUACGGGAGGCAGCAGUGGGGAAUUUUGGACAAUGGGCGCAAGCCUGAUCCAGCCAUGCCGCGUGCAGGAUGAAGGCCUUCGGGUUGUAAACUGCUUUUGUACGGAACGAAAAGCCCUGGGUUAAUACCCUGGGGCCAUGACGGUACGGUAAGAAUAAGCACCGGCUAACUACGUGCCAGCCGCCGCCGUAACAC
rnacentral:rRNA from 1 species